rnacentral:tRNA from 1 species
UCCUUGAUGGCUCAGCGGUAAAGAAUCUGCCUGCAAUGCAGGAGACCCGGGUUUGAUCCCUGGGUUGGGAA